CCUACGUGGGGCAGCAGUGGGGAAUAUUGCACAAUGGGGGAAACCCUGAUGCAGCGACGCCGCGUGAGUGAAGAAGUAUUUCGGUAUGUAAAGCUCUAUCAGCAGGGAAGAAAUAGCGACCUUUGGGUCGCCAGACGGUACCUGAUUAAUAAGCCCCAGCUAACUACGUGCCAGCAGCCGCGGUAAUACGUAGGUGGCAAGCGUUAUCCGGAUUUACUGGGUGUAAAGGGAGCGUAGACGGCAGUGCAAGUCUGAAGUGAAAUGCCGGGGCUUAACCACGGAACUGCUAUGGAAACUGUGCAGCUAGAGUGCAGGAGAGGUAAGUGGAAUUCCUAGUGUAGCGGUGAAAUGCGUAGAUAUCACGCAGAACUCCGAUUGCGAAGGCAGCAUACCGGCGCUCAACUGACGCUCAUGCACGAAAGCGUGGGUAUCGAACAGGAUUAGAUACCCGAGUAGUC
rnacentral:rRNA from 1 species